rnacentral:rRNA from 1 species
UACGGGGGGGGCAGGCGUUGUUCGGAAUUACUGGGCGUAAAGGGCGCGUAGGCGGCCUGCUAAGUCGGAUGUGAAAUCCCUCGGCUCAACCGAGGAACUGCAUCCGAUACUGGCGGGCUUGAAUCCGGGAGAGGGAUGUGGAAUUCCAGGUGUAGCGGUGAAAUGCGUAGAUAUCUGGAGGAACACCGGUGGCGAAGGCGGCAUCCUGGACCGGUAUUGACGCUGAGGCGCGAAAGCUAGGGGAGCAAACGGG